rnacentral:misc_RNA from 1 species
UAUUAUAAAAUUUUAAAAAGAAAACCUUCGUUUUUAUAAAUUUCAUGAUGGUCCUAUUAAGCAAUUAAUGUGUGCUUACAUAAAUCAGUAAAAAGAGUACUUCCCAUGAUUUUCGAGAUAUAGGAAUAAGCUUUCCUGAAAUUUCAUAGUAUUCAUAGUCUGUGAAUGGUUUCUCAUUAGCGCCCUCGUUUCUUGAAAGAGAGUCGUCGACAACUGAUUUUAAAUAAAAUAUUCAGUUAAAUAGCACUUCAAGAAUUUUAUUAAUGUCGUUAUUGAACACAAUACUUCAAAUUUUUCAUCAUCUCCUUAAAGUAUGUAUUAAUGCAAUUCGGGUACAAAAACAUGAUCAUUUUAUUAAUUAAAUUUUUACAAAUGUUGCAGAUUGAAUACAGUUAAACGAUGAUUUUAAAUAAUUCUGAAGUAUGAUAUUUUUCAUGUACUGACAAAAAAAUGGUUAGACAUUGCUGAAAAUCUUCAGCUAUUCUUUUUUAUCAUGUUAUCAUGUUUUGUUGAAAGCAAAGUUGAUAUUUUGAUACAGAGCGAAGGUGAUGACACAGAGUGAAAGUCCCAAAAAUUGUAAGUGCGCCAAAACAUCGAUAAAGCGCGCCUAAGGGUGAGCUUGGCGAAGUUCCCUCUUUCAUUGGUGGUUGCAUUAUUUUAGGAAUUAGUAGAGCUGCCGCCUUGGAGUAGAAAAGUUGAAAAGUACGCAUAACGCUCCGAGUAAAGAAUUACGGAAAUUGAUUCAAUUGAACCUUCAGUGCAGAUGAUGAAGUCUUCAUCAGUGGUCUUCAUUCAGUGCCUCCUAAUGAUUCGAAUCCCAGAAAUGGCUCGCACCGACUAUACUGCAGACGUAAAACAUCCUCAGUCGUAGAAGAAUCGAGGGUAAGAAUCCCAUUGCCGCCAGGAUAACCGUGGGUUACCAUGUAAUUCUUAUGAGGGUUAGAUCCAUCAAAAAAGUUCUCCACGAAGUCAAAUUUCUCCCAAUGCUUGAUCCAGAAGUACUCUUGUCUUCUGGGUUGGAUUCAAAAUUACAAGGCUACGGAGUUGAACAUGAUAAUUGUAAUCUCAAAAUUGGUUCAUCUGUUCAACGUCGGUUAUAAAAUAAAAUUAUUUACCCCUUA